CCCAGACCAGAUCACAAAGUCUAAUACCCUGAUAACACUAUGCAGAAGGGACAUCCCAUGGGGAGAUUCAUAGAAAUAAAAGAAGAUGCCUGAGGAUCUCAGUAGUUCAGCCCCUGCUAUUUGAAUCAUGGUAGCCAUGACACCAGGGAGAUGAGAAGACAUCUGCCAAUGUCCCUACCCUGAGCCAUCACUGGAUUUCAUCCUCCUGAGUGCCACUGAACCCAAUCAUUUGGCUGAGAGACUGUGGAAGAUUGCAGACUGAUAGUUAGUAAAUUGUAAUUAUUGUUAUGAACCACUAAGUUUUAGAUAAUUUGGAAAAGCACUUUAGACUCCUAGAAAAACUGAGUUGUCUGUUGAUUUGAGUAAUUGAGGAGAGCUUUAAAGGCCAAUGUCACAAAUGCUAAUACGCUGGAAAAGUCAAACCAUCAAGGCUCUUCUAAACACAAGAGAUCUUUACUGUCCCCUUGCUAUGGAUGGAGAAUAAUCUAACAUGUAUCUGAUGGAGAUUUUUGAAAGCCUCUGUUCACGAAUCUCUUGGUUUCAUAUGGGUCAACUCUGGUCUGAUUUAAUUCUAGGCAACUGCACAACUCAUCUUUCAUUUUAGGUUCUGGCCUACACUGAUUUUUUGAUGACUGACUGUCUGUAUGUUUUGUGUGUUAUCACAUUUUAUCUGAAGGGGCUAAAUAAUAGUGCUAUAGUUGUUUUGUAAACAUAAAGCAUUCCAAGAAGACAAUAUUAUCAACUGAGCUUUAAAAGAGGUAUGAAGCAGGGCACGGAUGCUCACACCUGCACUCCCAGCAGUUUGGCAGGCUGAGGUGGGCAGAUCUCUUGAUGUCGGGAGUUUGAGGCAAGCCUGGCCAACAUGGCAAGAUCCCAUGUCUAAUAUCAUACCAAAACUAGCCAGGCUUGGUGGCCCAUGGAUGUAACACCAGCUACUCACAAGGCUGAUGUAGGAGAAUCCAUUGAACUCCAGGGAUGGAGUUUGCAGUGAAGUGAGAUCACACCACUGCACUCCAGCCUGGGCACCAGAGCAAGACUGUCUCAGAAAUAAAAUGAAAUAAAAAAAUAAAAGAGAUAGGUGAGAUGACUAAGGAGAGUGCCGUGACCAGCUUGGUAGGGGAGACCUAACCCAACAGCACUAGAGGAAUUAAAGACACACACACAUAAACAUAGUGGUGUGAAGUGGGAAAUCAGGGGUCUCACAAUCUUUAGAGCUGAGAGCCCUGAACAGAGAUUUACCCAUGUAUUUAUUAAUAGCAAGCCAGUCAUCAGCAUUGUUUCUAUAGAUAUUAAAUAGACUAAAAGUAUACCUUAUGAGAAACGAAGAGAUGGGCCUAAUUAAAAGAAUAGGUUGGACUAGUUAACUGCAGCAGGAGCAUGUCCUUAAGGCACAGAUCACUAAUGCUAUUGUGUGUGGCUUAAGAAUGCCUUUAAGCACUUUUCCACCCUGGGCGGGCCAGGUGUUCCUUGCCCUCAUUCUUGUGAACCCAAAACCUUCCAGUGUGGGCGUUAAGGCCAUCACGAACAGGUCACAGUGCUGUAGAGAUCUUGUUUAUCAACAGUUUUGGGGCCAGUUUAUAGCCAGAUUUUACGGGGCUUGUUCCCAACAGGAGAGAAAUGCAUAAAACUUGGUGAACAUUGUGGUUCAUGAUUGGAAUCCCAGCAUUUUGAAAGGCUGAGGUGGCUGCAUCACUUGAGGACAGGAGUUUGAGCCCAGCCUGAGCAAACAUUGUGAAACCAGGUCUCUAUUAAAAAUAUCAAAAAGAAAAA
ensembl:lncRNA